rnacentral:rRNA from 1 species
UACGUAGGGUGCGAGCGUUGUCCGGAAUUACUGGGCGUAAAGAGCUCGUAGGUGGUUUGUCGCGUUGUCCGUGAAAACUCACAGCUCAACUGUGGGCGUGCGGGCGAUACGGGCAGACUGGAGUACUGCAGGGGAGACUGGAAUUCCUGGUGUAGCGGUGAAAUGCGCAGAUAUCAGGAGGAACACCGGUGGCGAAGGCGGUUCUCUGGGCAUUACCUGACGCUGAGGAGCGAAAGUGUGGGGGAGCGAACAGG